UUGAUUGAACAUCGCCGUCAUACACCUUUUAUUUGGAGACAAUUUUGAAGAAACGAGAUUAGGGUUAGGGUUUCACCUAUUUGGGCGUAUCCCCCGUAUAAAAUCCUAGUCUUUUAACAACUAAUUCUCCUCUCCCUCGCCCCCCACUCCCUCUCUGUAUGUUUUGCUCUGCAAUUUUUUUUUCUUUGCCUGGUUCUGUUCCUGUUUAGGUAAUAGCCGUGAUGAAACUUCAGUUCUGUGUACCAAAGACUCUCUUCGGAGUUGGUCUGUGACGGCAACACAACCCUCUAAGAAGUUCUGAGCAUUUUUUUUUUCUUGAAAUGUUUUCGCAUACGGUGUAGUUUGAUUUUAGAUCUGUCUUUUCGAAAGCUCAUUUUUUGAUUUUGGGAGUGUUGUGCGUGGUUUGAGAUGGAAAAAGCGAGGUGACGAUAGAAUUCAUUGGUCUGUCAAUCCACUGAUAUCAACAUCAGAUGAUGUUAAACAAUGAAUCCCGACAGGUUCUGAUCGCCUUGAUCUCCCUCUUCUCUCCAACAUCCCACAAAUCCACAUCUCAUUAUUAUUUCUUUCUGACACAUAUUUUCACAUGGUUUUUUUUUCUAAUUUUUUCUAAUGAAUAUUGAAGGUUUUUCAUGAAUUGGAAACAGAGGAAGUUUAUGUACAUAUAAUUGCUGUGAGUGCUAGUGAUUUGAAUUUGGUUGGGGCAAGUGAUGAAUCUCAUAAACUUAUGGGUAAUUUGCGUCUGAAUUUUUUCAUUGAUGCUAUAUCACCUUGGAGACCUGAUGCCGCUUACCUUCUUCUUCUUCUUCUUCUGCUUCUUCUUUUUUGUUGAAAUUGAUUUGCUUAUUAUUUAUUGUUUGAAGUUUGGUCAAGAACCUGUUUUGGUUUUGGCUGUUCAAUUCCAUCAAGUUUAUGUCUGCUCAUUUUGAUGCUAACAUUCGCAUUAUGACAGGUUUCUAAAAUUUGUUUGGACCCCUUCAUGUUCCUAACUUCGGAUUAUCUGAUUUAGGUUUGAAUAAAAACCUCUGUUUGAGUUUCUUGGCUAUCAAAAUUGCUCUGAUGUUUCUCAAUCAGUUGUUCAGGAAUUUCCUUAAAUCUUUUGGGGCUUUAAACCAUGGUGUGGUCUGUAAUCUCACAACAUUUUGUUUUCCACGUGAGGCGGGCACAUCUUUGAACAAUAGUUUUACAACAUGCGGAAAGAUAAUAUUUUGUUCGAAAAAGGGCCAUUUUGAUAAGGAACAUUUGAAGGAAAAUCACUAUCUUUUCUCUAACAAUAAAAUAUGAUUGUAUAGAGAAUUGUGUGCUGAAGAAUAUCAUGAACUAAACAAUAAGAAUGAUAUGGUAGAAUUAAGAGUCUGUUUGAUUGUGUUUUAAAAGAGAUAAGUGUGUUGAAGCAAUAUCGAAUGAUAGAGUUAUAGGCUGUUUGUUUUUUUAAUUAUUUGCUAAAAUCAAUUUGUUUUUAGAUUUUAAAUUGUCAAUUUUUUUUUAAUUUUUAAUGAUUUAUUAUAAGUUUUUUUUCGAAUAGAAAAAAUAAAAAUAUUUGGUUUUUUUUUAAAUGAUAAAAGUGAUAUGUUGGUUUUUAAUGUGUGGAUUUCUUGUUUGUGCUCGAUGUAUCUUAUCAUUGGAAUAAGGUUACUUAUUUUUAGAUUUGGAGUUGUUCCUUAUUUGGGAAAAACAUUAUGUGAGAAACUAAAUAUAAGUUCGGGUGCUAGGUUACUUAUCGAGUAGAUAUGGUAAAGACAUAACAUCCCUUUAAGUCCAUAAAAACGGGUUUCUACUAAAUGAGAUGAGAUAGAUGUGAAAAUUGAUGAGGAAUAUCGAUGAAAUAAUCAAAUAAUCAAGUGAAUCAUGUAUCGGAAUAAGCGAAGUGGGAAUGAGAUUGUAUCUUAUUAAUAAUUUGCGUUAUCAAAUGCAUAUCAAAGAGCAGGACAAAGAUAGGAAAAAAACUCAAGUGUAGGGUCCCUACCAAAGAAGAAAAAAACUUAAGUGUAGGGUCCUUACCAAAGCUUAAUUUAUCUUCUAUGAAUUAGUCUCAUAGAUUUUAUUAUUUCAUUAUUUUGGAAUUGUGAAAAAUUCAUUUUUAUUUAUUUAAAAAUCAAGAGAAACAAAAAAAUUAUUUUAAAAUAAAAAAAUUUUAUGAAGGUGUUUGCCUGAAAGAAAAGGGGCAACAAGUUUACUAAAAAAGGGAUUUUUGGUGACCUCGAAUCUUUAGGAAAGAUGAAGAGUGAUAGAAUUAAAGAAAUAUUUGAAAAGAGUGGUAGAAUUAAAGAAAUAUUUGAAAAGAGUGGUAGAAUUAAAGAAACAUUUGAAAAUUGGAGUGAAAUCAAAAUUAUUGGAAAGAAAACUAAAGUUUUGAAAUUUAUUCGAAAAUUAAAAACUCGAAAAUUAUUUGAAAAUUGGCUUUUUGAAAAUUAAAUUUAAGAAUUGGAAUUUUGAAAAUUGGGAAUUAAAUUUGGAAAUUGGAAUUUUGAAGAAUUAUUAAAAAUGAAAAUUUGAGAAUUAAAUUUAAGAAAAUGGAAUUUUAAAGAAUUAUUAGAGAAUGGAAUUAAAAAAAAAAAAAUAAUAUUAAUAAUAAAAAAUAAACAAAUAGAAUAAUAAUAACAACAAAAAUAAUAAUGAUUAAAUAAAUAAAUAUGAAAAUUGAAAUUUUAGAAAUGCUUAAUUGGUUAAAGGGGUUAAAAUAACUCUCAUUUUUGCAAAUAUAACCCACCAGUCAAAACACAAAAAAGUUGAUCCGGUUGAGACAAAAAUGCCCUUCUUCUUUUAUCUCUCCAACACAUACAACUUCUCAUAUUUUCCUUCAUUUACAGAACAAUUUCUCUUCUUUUCCUUUAUUUAUAGAACAACUCCUCAUAUUUUCCAAAAAAAUUCUCUCAUCAUCUUCUUCUACUUCAUUAUCUUCCUUUUGGUGCAUAAAACGGAAAGAUCAUCUCCUCUUCCGCUUCAUUUAUAGAACGAGUCCUCAUCUUUCAUCAUGUUCUUCUAUUUUAUCAUCUUCCUUUGAUGCACAAAACAAAAAUCUCAUAUUUCCUUCAAAAACCCUAGAAAUCCUCUGUUUCAUUCCGAAUCCUUGGAAAAAUUGUUAUUCUAUUUUUUUCAAGUUAUCUCAUAUUAUAUCUUCAAGAACGAAGGAAACAAUGAGUUCAUUGAAGAGUGAUAGGAGAAAAAGAUUUAAAAAGUUGAGGAAAAACAAAAAUGCCAAUUGCGAAUAGAAGAAAAAAGUGAAGCAUAAGAAAGUGAAGCAAAGAAAAACGAAGCUACUAAGCAAAAAUCCCAACUACUGUGAAAUAGUGAGUGUGAACUUAACUAUGGUUAAGUUUUUUGUUAAUGAAACUCAAUUACUAUUAAGUUCAGGUGAAAAUUCAGACUAUGAACUUAAUUGUGGUUAAGUUCUUUGUUAAUGAAACUCAACUAUUGUUAAGUUUAGGUGAAAUAUCUAACUGUGAAUUUAACUAUGGUUAAGGUUUUUGUUAAUGCAACUCAACUACUGUUAAGUUCAGGUGAAAAUUCUAAUUGUGAACUUAACUGUGAUUAAGUUCUUUGUUAAUACAACUCAACUACUGCUAAGUUCAUGUGAAAAUUCUUUGAGCGAACUUUUCACUUGUUCAGAACUAACAAUGGAGUCUCUAUUUUUUACUUACAAUGUUGAAGUGAGAUUUUGAAUUUUCAAGAAACAAAAAAAAAAAAAUGAUAAUAUAAAAAGGAAAUUGUUGGUUGCUUACAUUUUUUUUUCUUCAUAUUUUUGUAACCAAGAAUGAAGAAUAGAUGAAACAAUGGUAAGAAGUUAUUAAACUUGAUCUUCGCAGAAAAAAAGAGAGAAAAGCAACCAAUGACCGAAUAAAAAAAUUAGAACCUAAUCUACUAUAAAAUAAAGGGAAAGAGAAUGUUGUCUUGGAGGGAAAAAUGAGAAGGGAAAGGGAAAUGAGAAGUUGUAUGUGUUGAAAAGAAAAAAUAAGAAGGACAUUUUUGUCUCAAUCAGGUCAAUUUUUUUGCUUUUUGAUUGGUGGGUUAUAUUUGCAAAUAUGGGGGUUAUUUUGACCCGUUUAACCAAUUAACCCUUUUGGAAAUUGGGAAUUAAGUUUGGAUAUCAGAAUUUUGAAAAAUUAUUUAAAGAUGAAAAUUUUAAUAAAUAAAUAAAUAAAUAGAAUAAAUAGAUAAAAUAAUAAUGAAGAAAAUAAUAAUGAUUAAAUAAAUAAAUAUGAAAAUUGGAAUUUUGGAAAUCGAUGAUCAAAUUUGGAAUUUGGAAAUUUGAAUAAUUACUUAAAGAUGGAAUUUUAAAAAGUAAAUAAAUAGAAUAAUAAUAAUAACGAAAAUAAUAAUGAUUAGAUAAAUAAAUUUAAAAAUUGGAAAUUAAAUUUGGAAAUCAGAAUUUUGAAGGAUUAUUUGAGAACGGUAUUUUGGAAAACUAAAUUUUGAAGAUUAAAAUCUUGGGAAAUUAUUUUGAGAAUGAAAUUUCGGGAAAUUAAAUUAAAGAAAUUGAAAUCUUGAAAAUUUAUUAUGAGAAUGGGAUUUUGGAAAAUUAAAUUUCAAAAGUUGGAAUCUUAAAGAAUUAUUUUGAUAAUGGAAUUUCGGAAAAUUAAAUUUCGAAAAUUGAGAUCUUGAAAAAUUAUUUUGAGAAUGAAAUUUUGAAAAUUGGAAUCUUGAAAAAUUAUUUUGAGAAUGAAAUUUUUAUAAGAAGGCGAUUUAAGAGGAUGACAUGUGGCCUAAGGAAAGGCAGACAUGCAUAGCCAAACACUCCAAUGUAUGCUUUAUAUAUAAUAUCAAAUUCAAAUCAAGCUUGUGGGACCCCAUCCCAAAAUUCAUUUCUCCAUGUGUUUAAGCCUAUUCCUAACUUUAUUGUGCUGUCUCCAUUACACAACCAACCCAUUUUCAUAUUGCAAUAAUAUCAUACCCACACCACUAUUCCAUUUUCCAAUGCAUAUAUCUAUCAUACUCACACUACAAACCCAUUUUUUUAAUGCAUAUUCAAUGAGUGAAUCUCAUACUUGGGAUGUGGUUUGUGAACGACGAAGAGACUCGUCUUAUAUUUAUACCUCCCGGAGUCCAAAAGAUGGCAAGGGCCAUUAUCAUAGGUGCAUAAAGGGAUUGUGACGAAAAUGAAUGCGAUUAAUGGGUAGUGGUAGAAGUGGAUUGGUGGGUAUUGGAAGAUGAUGGUUUGAAGGGUAGUGUGUGAAUUUGAUGAAUGGGUAGAAGACAGUGGGUGUAAGAGAAGUGAGGACGGCCAUGCAUGCAUGGUUCCUAUGCAUGAGUGAGAAAUGAGCAGUGAGGCAGUUGGUGGGGCAUCUUGGGUGUGAUGGGUAUGGUUAUAUGUAGGGUUAUGGGUAUGAGGAUGUAGAGAGACUGAAGGUGGCCAUGCGCUUUGGACGCCAUGCACGUGGGAAAUGGAGCUAAACGGGUAGGGAAUGAAUGAUAGAUGGUGGGGGUGAUAGGAAAAUAGUGAGGGAAGUGGGUGAUGGAGGUAUAGAAAGAUGAAAGGAUGUAGUGAGAUGGGGGGAGAUAGGUGGUUCAAUGGGUAUGGAAAAUGGGUAUAUGCAUGAGGAGGCAUGAAAGAUGGGUGUGGAGAUGGGCAGCGGGUAUGAGGAUGUGAUGGGGUGAAGCUUUCUUUAAAAAGGAGUAGAUGAGAACCGAAUACCCAAUGAACAUGAAGAGACCCAUUUCAUUUUUCCUUCAUCUGUGGGCUCAAAAAUUGGUGGAUUAAACUAGAAGAAUGUCUAAAAAAACAACGAGAUACGAGGAGGUCCUCAAAUAUGAAACAAACAAUCAAAACAUAGUUAAAUCAUCCUUGAGUGAAAACGGAGAAGCAUGGAAUGAAAUUACAAUAACCAAACCAAAGCCAACUCACAAACGAUGCAAAGUAAUUACCUGAAAAAGAGAUGAGAGAAGUAUGAUGAUAUAAUGAAUGAUGAACACAAAUAAAUGUACCAGGCAAUGCUUUUCUCAAACCGAAGUUUGCUUAGCUCCCCAAAACUAACUUACUUUGCUCAGCUCAUUUUCCUUCCACCCGUCUUAUCCUUUCUGCCGAGCUACUAAAAUAUCUAUAUGUAAUAGCAACGAAAAUCUCAUUCUCUCUGUAACCAACAGUAGAAAUCACCUAACACGUUCCCAUUCUCUCAUAGCCUAAAAAAAUGCCCAUUUUUCUCUCCAAAACCUCUCCAUUUUCUUUCGUUUUUUCCUCCAGUUUUUCGCUCCCCUCUAGAUGUGCUUUUCUCUUGUCAACUCUUUCUUUUCAUGCAAGUUGCUACCCAUCCCCCGAUUCCAGUCGUGCUUUCUUUUUGCUCAGUUAUGUCCCUUCUUUGCCUAGCUGUGUAGAGCCUUUUUGAAACAACUCACCCAUCAACUGCUUUUCUUCUCGCUUUCCAUUCCAUCUAGCCACCCAAAAACACCUCAUUCCUAAUCCUCACUGGCCGCCUAAAACGGCUCAUCCUUGGGGUGGUAAGAAAAAUGGGAAACCUUCUCUCAAGGGGGUCUACAUAAUGUUUAAUAAAAGUAAAAUAUUAAAAAAAUAAAUUAUCUAAUAUUUAACACUAUUAAGAAUUAAAGUUUUAUUUAGAAUUAAUUAUAAAUAAAUAAAUACUACCUUAGAGUCCAAUUUUGUUUUUAGAAAAUAUUUUUAGAAUAAAAAAAAUAAUUUUGAAGAAAAAUAACGUACAAAAUUUGGAAAAGAAUUUUAAAAAGUUGAAAAAUUAAUUGUAGUGUUUUUUGAAGAAGUAUUUGAUACUUGUUUCUUUUAAAAAUUCUUUUAGAUAAAACACCUUUGCUUUGAAGAAUUUUAAUCAAAACUACUUCCGAUAUAAACUUGAAAAGUGAUUCUCCUAAACAUAUAUAUAUAUAUAUAUAUAAGGAAAACAUCUUUACUAAAAUCAUUUUGAAUUUAAACAUUCUUGAAAUGU
rnacentral:lncRNA from 1 species